GUUCCGUAAAGAAGGAGACUCUUCGGUCUGUGGACGCUGUAGAUGUAACUCGAAGUCUCCGUUGCUCUCCCUGCCUCAAGGAUAGUGCGCCUGAGUGGAGGUACCUGGAUCUGCACAUGAAAAACAUGCGCAGAAGGGGCAUGAGUACACCACCGCGGUACUCAGUAAGUGCCAAACCUAACCUCGGUCGGGUAAUGACGAGGAAGGUCAGGGCCCUGCUGAGAUAAAAUAUAAUAAUAAGCCUUGCAACAGUAUGAAUUAAACAGAAAUAAUGAAUACAACUAUGAAGGAAAACAGGUUAUACAAAACAACUAACACGCAGAGAAUAAGGUGACACAGAGUAAAACAGCUCCACAUCAGUACCAACAACGAGGAUCUCCCAGGAUUUUGCGCCAAAAGUUACACUGUUUGCCCAAGUUUUUUUUUGCGCCAAAAGUUUUUUUUUUUUUUUUUGCCAAUAACUCUUUUGGCCAAAAAUUGAGAUGUUUUGCCAAGCUGUCGGAAGGAAAAAAAGUGCUUUUGAGGAAAAGCAGAAGCAAUUUUUGAGAAGCAAAAAGCACUUUUCUGAGAAACACUUUUGAAAAAAAUACACCUAACAGUUGUCAAAAGUUUAACCAAACACUAAUUACUAAUCAAAAGUGUUUUUCAAAUUAAUUACUCAAACACAAACUGCUUCUCACCAAAAGCAUUUUCUUUAAAAGUAAUUUUUAGAAGCUUGACCAAACAGGCUAUAUAUCUUCUUACAGAAAAUCCAGAAACAUUUUUAUUCCAUUUUUUAUGCAAGAAAUAGAAUCGCCCUUCUACUGACGUUCUAUUGUUUUUAAAAAAAAAAAAUUAAUUAACCUCCCCAGUAAACAACGCCCAUUGUAAAAAGCAACACCGUUUUCAUGAGAUAAGACAAGAUUUCACCCUGCAUUACCGUUAGUGGCGUGAUCAGUUACUGUGUCGGAGCGUAGAACAUUAGCUUUCCCCAGAUCUCAUUGUUCAAAGUUAACAGCAAUCACAGACAAUGACAUAUUAGGUUUCCAAAUUUAGAAAACAGAAGUUGCUCUCUUUGGAUAGCACGAGUGAUGUCAGAAUUCCAAGAUCCAGUUGAAAUAUCGAAUUUAAUAGAAUAGACAGGCAGGCGUCCAUGAAUUGGAAGCAGGAAAGACGCUGCUUGAAAGAGAAUCCAGUGUCUCUGGUCAGGAGCACGACGAUAUAACAUAGUUGCCUAUUAAACCACUGCACAAACCAUGUCGGCACCAAGGGUGCAAACACAGGCAUAAAUGGUGAACUGUAGAAAUGGGUGGGCACGAGACGAGGAUUUCACCGCUCAUAGCCACUUAUUGAUUUCUAUAUAUCCUAGGACUUAGGACUUAAAUGUGUAAGCAAUUAUUCCUCCAGCAGCACAGCAGGGGAAAACCUUGCUGAGAAUGAAAUCAGCACAAAUCCCAGUACAGGUCCUGACAAGUGACAAGUCAAGAAGACCUGAGAUUCAGUUCAAGCCAAUUAAGAGGACCCUAGUUUUUCCCCUUCUGCAGCUUUAAUAAGCUUCUUGGUUAUAGCAGAUAUUACCCGAUCGCACUUGAGAAGGCAUACAGUUUGUCAAUGUAACUUCCUCUCGAGCCUAGCAAGUCUAGCUUUCACAAGACACUCGAAAGAAGGAAUAAAAGCUCGGGCAGCAAGGUACCCAGAGUUGUCAGCCAGCCGAAGCAACCAUUCGACUUGUUUAAUGAUAUGGUGCCAGUGGAUACUUGACCUUUACAUACUCGAUCCAUCGCACAAUCAACGAAUUAAUGCAAUCACUACUUCCUGCUCUUCUGAACUUGAUCAAAUCCAAGGAAGCCAUGACUCCGACUGAAACCACAUCUCAUAGCAUAUCGUCUUCAAAUGGAAAUCCUGCACAUUGCAAAAGUAUAUGACUCAUAAGUGAGAAGCCGAUUGCAAAUAACUUGAUCAAAAUAGCCCACGAACAAUAUUCUUUGGUCAGACUUAUCGUAAACCGAAUAUUUUGAAGGCUAGUCACAGUCCAGGUGUAAGUCUAUGCACUAAGAUAUUUGGGAGGUCAAAAUUGCCUAUUGUCAAUAGAGGAAUCAUCUUUAACCAAAACUUAGAGCAUUAUAGAACAUAAAGAUGUUAAAAAACCACUGACUCUAUCAACACGCAGGAAAUUACCAAAUCAAAACUAGCAAUAUAACAUUACCUGGUGACAAGCUCACCUAUUUUGACCAGAUGGCUACAGGGUUCAAAAGAACAAUAAGACUUAAACAUAAGAGUGGGAUGGGUGGUGGGGAAAGAGAAGUCCAUAAAUCAAAUUUUACAUCACAACUUCACACUCCUGAUGAGAACACAGGAAGUGCUGCCUUUGAUAUAUCACAUUUCCACACUUCUCAAAAUUUCUGAGAUACAAUCCCAUUAUCAACAUGUUUGUAACAAUUCAUUAGCUCACCACAAAAUUAAGCGAUAAAGAUUACAACACAUGCAACUUUGCGAGUGAUGAAUCAAGUGAAGAAAAUAACCACCAAUGUAUGCACAAACGGAACUGCACAAUUUUUGACAAAUCACAUAUGAUCUAUUUUACAUGGAAAAAGAGACAUAAGGUGUCGCUAGUGCUUCAUUUUUCAGCGGACAGGAGCCACCCUGAUCUUAAUGCAAGGAUGGACCAAUUCGUUUAUAGUCAUCUUAGGAAAAAUAUCUAACCCGAGCUCCCAAAGAAAGACAAACAGCUGCUGCCAUCUGCUCUCAUGUCCAGCUCAGUCCACACCCUCUUCAGCUUGUGAAAUUGCGAAAAUCAGGGCCCUGAUCAGCCACCCGAAUCAUCCAUACAAGC
rnacentral:lncRNA from 1 species